CUAGCGGGAUUCAAGCUGCAGCCGGUGUGAGGGAUGAAAGCGAGACACAGCAUGGAGACACACAGGCCGAAUUUCAGCCCCACAGGCCGUAACCUAACAUGGCACCCAAGCAUUGUGCAACGAUGUAGAAUCCGGCCAUCAUAGGGGACCUCUUGCCGAGUAUCACUGCGGCGAACGUAAUAGCCGGAUUGAGAAUGAAAAACCCUGAGGCGAUUGGAAGGAAUAAAAAGUAAAGGAUAAACCAAAUGUUAUUGAAAAGUUGACUAAUGUAUUGGCGCGUCACGAUACGACAUUGACGACUCAAAUCUCAAUAAAAGAUUCAACAUCAACGCUAA